UACGAAGGGGGCUAGCGUUGCUCGGAAUCACUGGGCGUAAAGCGCACGUAGGCGGAUUGCUAAGUCAGGGGUGAAAUCCUGGAGCUCAACUCCAGAACUGCCUUUGAUACUGGCGACCUUGAGUCCGGGAGAGGUGAGUGGAACUGCGAGUGUAGAGGUGAAAUUCGUAGAUAUUCGCAAGAACACCAGUUGCGAAGGCGGCUGACUGGACACAUAUUGACGCUGAGGCUCGAAAGCAUGGGGAGCAAACAGGG
rnacentral:rRNA from 1 species